rnacentral:lncRNA from 1 species
AGAGAGUUGUGUUGAUUUUUAUUUGCUGGUUUCGGGCGAGUGGUUGGGAGCCAAGAAUCAUUACAUACUGAGAUAGAUGAUUCUGCUCCCAUCUUUUUGAAUAAUUAUUUGCUAAACAUAAAUCUACCAAAUACGAUACUACGCCAGCCAUAUGAUGGUGAGUAUGAUUUGAUCGGCUUCAUAAAUGAUGCAUUCCUGAAAUCAGGACCGUCUUUUAGCAAGUUCAAGUGGAGCGGUCGAACAGGGUUCAAAAUUUUAGAGGGUCCAUAAUUUUUUUUUGUUUUAGUAGUAGUUAUAAAUUCAAAAUUAUAUAUUUAU